rnacentral:rRNA from 1 species
UCCGUAGGUGAACCUGCGGAAGGAUCAUUAACGAAUUCGAAGCAGAGCGCCCGGCGGCUGAUGCUGGCCCCUCGGGGCACGUGCACGCCUCGGGCGCCUUCAAUUCGCUCCUCUCCCCCUUGUGCACCCCGCGUAGCGCCCGCCGUCGGCGGGCCUGCGAGUUUUUCCAUCCACGCACCCCGAUCGCAUGUAUUGACGAGAUGUGAAAUAACACAAACACAACUUUCAACAACGGAUCUCUUGACUCUCGCAUCGAUGAAGAACGCAGCGAAAUGCGAUAAGUAAUGUGAAUUGCAGAAUUCAGUGAAUCAUCGAAUCUUUGAACGCACCUUGCGCUCUUUGGCCAUUCCAAGGAGCAUGCCUGUUUGAGUGUCAUUGAAUCCUCAAGCUCCCCCCGCCUUGGGGGGGAGACUUGGACUUGGGAGCGCUGCGGCGCCGGGCUUCUCCCUCCGGCUCCGCUCUCCUCAAAGGCAUCAGUAGGUCCCAUCGGGUCUUCGCGGCGUUGAUAGUCGUCCACGCCCCCUGCCCCCGUCGGGUCUCACCUGCUCCCGAACCCCCCACCGACGAAAGUCUCCCUUUGACCUCAGAUCAGGUAGGACUACCCGCUGAACUUAAGCAUAUCAAUAAGCGGAGGAAAAGAAACUAACAAGGAUUCCCCUAGUAACUGCGAGUGAAGCGGGAAGAGCUCAAAUUUAAAAUCUGGCGGCCUCCGGCCGUCCGAGUUGUAACCUAGAGAAGCGUCACCCGCGCCGGACCGUGCACAAGUCUCCUGGAACGGAGCGUCACAGAGGGUGAGAAUCCCGUCUUUGGCACGGACGCCCCGGGGCUUUGUGGUGCGCUCUCGAAGAGUCGAGUUGUUUGGGAAUGCAGCUCAAAAUGGGUGGUAAACUCCAUCUAAAGCUAAAUAUUGGCGAGAGACCGAUAGCGAACAAGUACCGUGAGGGAAAGAUGAAAAGCACUUUGGAAAGAGAGUUAAACAGUACGUGAAAUUGUUGAAAGGGAAACGCUUGAAGU